rnacentral:tRNA from 1 species
AAGAGGGACAUAGAGGUUAUGAAGCUGGCUUGAAACUAGUUUUUGAGGGUUCAAUUCCUUCCUCUCUUG